GACGAACGCUGGCGGCGUGCUUAACACAUGCAAGUCGAACGGAAAGGCCUGCUUUCCCUUGUGGAUUGCGGGUACUCGAGUGGCGAACGGGUGAGUAACACGUGAGUGAUCUGCCCCCAACUUGGGUAUAAGCCUGGGAAACUGGGUCUAAUUCCCGAUAGGACUGCAGGGUGGUGCCUGUGGUGGAAAACGAUUUUCUAGUGGUUGGGGAUGAGCUCGCGGCCUAUCAGCUUGUUGGUGGGGUAAUGGCCUACCAAGGCGGCGACGGGUAGCCGGCCUGAGAGGGUGGACGGCCACAUUGGGACUGAGAGACGGCCCAGACGCCUACGGGAGGCAGCAGUGGGGAAUAUUGCACAAUGGGCGGAAGCCUGAUGCAGCGACGCCGCGUGGGGGAUGACGGCCUUCGGGUUGUAAACUCCUUUCGACCGCGAGGAAGCCACCUGGUUGGAAGGGUGGUGACGGUAGUGGUAGAAGAAGCACCGGCUAACUACGUG
rnacentral:rRNA from 1 species